UGGGGAAUAUUGGACAAUGGGCGGAAGCCUGAUCCAGCAACGCCGCGUGAGGGAUGACGGCCUUCGGGUUGUAAACCUCUUUCAGUAUUGACGAAGCGCCCGUGUGGGUGGUGACGGUAGGUACAGAAGAAGCACCGGCCAACUACGUGCCAGCAGCCGCGGUAAUACGUAGGGUGCGAGCGUUGUCCGGAAUUAUUGGGCGUAAAGGGCUCGUAGGCGGUUUGUCGCGUCGGGAGUGAAAACACUGGGCUUAACCGAGUGCUUGCUUCCGAUACGGGCAGACUUGAGGCAUUGAGGGGAGAACGGAAUUCCUGGUGUAGCGGUGAAAUGCGCAGAUAUCAGGAGGAACACCGGUGGCGAAGGCGGUUCUCUGGCAAUGUUCUGACGCUGAGGAGCGAAAGUGUGGGGAGCGAACA
rnacentral:rRNA from 1 species